rnacentral:lncRNA from 1 species
AACUCCUGGUUCUUAUUUAGUUUUAAAUUAAAUAAAAAUUGCAGCACAUAGAUUUGAGUUUGAAGAAAAAUACCACCCUGCGUGUGAUGACCUCACCUGAUACGUCACCUGAUACCUGAUGGGGGUCAAUGGGUGCAGAGAAGAUCCUGAGCCUAGGGCUGGGAGCGGGUGUUGUCCACAUAUUGGCUUUUUUGUGAACUGGAUGGGGGUCAGGUUUGCAUGAGGGACAUGUUAGACAUGCCGGGGUUGGCCUGGAUUAGAAAGGACAUGAUUUUGAUUUAACUUUUGUUCUCAUGACUUUGAAGGUAAAUCUGAGGUUGUGUCAUGUAGAUGAGAA